GUAGGGUGCAAGCGUUGUCCGGAAUUAUUGGGCGUAAAGAGCGUGUAGGCGGCCCGAUUAGUCCGCUGUGAAAGUCCAGGGCUCAACCCUGGAAUGCCGGUGGAUACUGUCGGGCUAGAGUCCGGAAGGGGCGAGUGGAAUUCCUGGUGUAGCGGUGAAAUGCGCAGAUAUCAGGAGGAACACCAAUGGCGAAGGCAGCUCGCUGGGACGUGACUGACGCUGAGACGCGAAAGCGUGGGGAGCAAACAGGAUUAGAUACCCUGGUAGUCCACGCUGUAAACGAUGGCAACUAGAUGUGGGGGGUGUCGACUCCCCCCGUGUCGAAGCUAACGCAUUAAGUUGCCCGCCUGGGGAGUACGGCCGCAAGGCUA
rnacentral:rRNA from 1 species